rnacentral:miRNA from 1 species
GCGUACAAGGAGCCAAGCAUG